UAGGGAAUAUUGGUCAAUGGGCGAAAGCCUGAACCAGCAACGCCGCGUGGAUGAUGAAGCUUCUUGGAGUGUAAAAUCCUGUCAGUGGGGACGAAACGUAGGGAGAGGAAAUGCUCUCUACCUGACUGUACCUGCAGAGGAAGUUCCGGCCAACUCCGUGCCAGCAGCCGCGGUAAUACGGGGGGAACGAGCGUUGUUCGGAUUUACUGGGCGUAAAGGGCACGCAGGCGGGAAAGCAAGUCAGACGUGAAAUCCCAAAGCUCAACUCUGGGACUGCAUUUGAUACUGCUUUUCUUGAGUACGAGAGAGGAUGGCGGAAUUCUUGGUGUAGCGGUGAAAUGCGUAGAUAUCAAGAAGAACACCGGUGGCGAAGGCGGCCAUCUGGCUCGAUACUGACGCUCAGGUGCGAAGGUCGGGGGAGCAAACAGG
rnacentral:rRNA from 1 species